GCUUGUCUCAAAGAUUAAGCCAUGCAUGUCUAAGUAUAAACAAAUCUAUACUGUGAAACUGCGAAUGGCUCAUUAUAUCAGUUAUAGUUUAUUUGAUGGUUCUUGCUACUUGGAUAACCGUAGUAAUUCUAGAGCUAAUACGUGCGUAAAACCCGACUUCUGGAAGGGUCGUAUAUAUUAGAUAAAAGGCCGACCGAGCUUUGCUCGACCCGCGGUGAAUCAUGAUAUCUUCACGAAUCGCACGGCCUUGUGCCGGCGAUGUUUCAUUCAAAUUUCUGCCCUAUCAACUUUCG
rnacentral:rRNA from 1 species